rnacentral:rRNA from 1 species
UACGUAGGGGGCAAGCGUUGUCCGGAUUUACUGGGCGAAAAGCGCGUGUAGGCGGCCAAGCAGGUCCGUUGUGAAAACUGGAGGCUUAACCUCCAGACGUCGACGGAAACCGCGUGGCUAGAGUCCGGAAGAGGAGAGUGGAAUUCCUGGUGUAGCGGUGAAAUGCGCAGAUAUCAGGAAGAACACCAAUGGCGAAGGCAGCUCUCUGGGACGGUACUGACGCUGAGACGCGAAAGCGUGGGGAGCGAACAGG